CUGGGGCGGUCUCCUCCCAAAGAGUAACGGAGGAGCACGAAGGUUAGCUAAUCCUGGUCGGACAUCAGGAGGUUAGUGCAAUGGCAUAAGCCAGCUUAACUGCGAGACGGACAGGUCGAGCAGGUACGAAAGUAGGUCAUAGUGAUCCGGUGGUUCUGUAUGGAAGGGCCAUCGCUCAACGGAUAAAAGCUACCCCGGGGAUAACAGGCUUAUCUCCCCCAAGAGUUCACAUCGACGGGGCGGUUUGGCACCUCGAUGUCGG
rnacentral:rRNA from 13 species